GUCCAGCAGUACCCCUGUACACCCUCUUCUUCUUUUUCCUCAAACUUAGCCAACUCCAGCUCCAAACGUGCAAACGGUACUGACCCAUCUAAUCGUCGUCCCCUUUUUCCCCUUUCGCGGAAGUCGUCGAUUUUUCCCAUCUUUCACUGAUGCUAUUGGAAAAAAGGAAAAUAAAUAUUUUUAUCAUUUGAAGUUUUCAAUU
rnacentral:misc_RNA from 1 species